UACGGAGGGCGCAAGCGUUGUUCGGAAUCACUGGGCGUAAAGCGCGUGUAGGCGGCUUGGCAAGUCGGGUGUGAAAUCCCGAGGCUCAACCUCGGAACUGCACUCGAAACUGCCUGGCUCGAGUCCCGGAGAGGGUGGCGGAAUUCCCGGUGUAGGGGUGAAAUCCGUAGAGAUCGGGAGGAACACCAGUGGCGAAGGCGGCCACCUGGACGGUGACUGACGAUGAGACGCGAAAGAGUGGGGAGCAAACAGG
rnacentral:rRNA from 1 species